GACGAACGCUGGCGGUGUGCUUAACACAUGCAAGUCGAACGGAAAGGCCCUGCUUUUGUGGGGUGCUCGAGUGGCGAACGGGUGAGUAACACGUGAGUAACCUGCCCUUGACUUUGGGAUAACUUCAGGAAACUGGGGCUAAUACCGGAUAGGAGCUCCUGCUGCAUGGUGGGGGUUGGAAAGUUUCGGCGGUUGGGGAUGGACUCGCGGCUUAUCAGCUUGUUGGUGGGGUAGUGGCUUACCAAGGCUUUGACGGGUAGCCGGCCUGAGAGGGUGACCGGCCACAUUGGGACUGAGAUACGGCCCAGACUCCUACGGGAGGCAGCAGUGGGGAAUAUUGCACAAUGGGCGGAAGCCUGAUGCAGCAACGCCGCGUGCGGGAUGACGGCCUUCGGGUUGUAAACCUCUUUCGCCUGUGACGAAGCGUGAGUGACGGUAAUGGGUAAAGAAGCACCGGCUAACUACGUG
rnacentral:rRNA from 1 species